rnacentral:lncRNA from 1 species
CAGGCACGUCUGAAUCCGGAGCUGGGGUUCUUACCCACUCCAGUGACUGCCUCUCAGAAAAGAACAGGGCAAUGUCCAUUCUCCUUUUAUUUUCUUUAAGCACCUGAUCAUUCUAAAAGCAUGUGUUCCUCCGUGUGUGUGAGUUGUGUACACGUGUGUGUGUGUUCCUUUCUUUUCUCGGACUCCAGGCUCAUGACUGCUUAUUUGCAUGGUGUUUUGGUGUCAAAGGAGUGUUGAAUGUGUUCUCCACACACCCAGCUUUAUUCCACUCUAGGAGUUUAACUUCUUCAGCAUUGUUAUGAGGUCCCCGGUGACCUCAGUUUCUCCUCUCCGCGUCAUCCAGGACUUCACCUGAAGCUUGAGCUACACGUAAGACUUCAUCUACCUUGCACAGGGCAAUGGAGAGAGGAUGGCAUACCAGAAUCACCAGAUGACAGACAUCGGGGUGCUGUCGGACCCGGGAAUCAGAACCUCUGCAGAUAGAUAUUUUGGAAGGCGCUCCCUAGAUUGGCACCUCUGAUUCCUGCAAGUAGACUGACAGCUGCAUGUUUGCAGGAAAGUUAAAUAUUUUGACAGCGCAGAAGACUGCUGCAUCUGGAGGGUUCUGGGUCCAGCUAUAACCAGACUUGCCUGUCCUAAACAAAUGGAUUGACUGCUUCCGGCAUCCUCACUUUACUUCUGCAUGGUGACCAACAUCCGGAGCUUAAUUACCUGACAGCCAGGAGGUAGGGGGCAAAGGAAACCUUUUAAUUUAUAGUAAGAAGUGAUCAGUUCCUUUUUUGGGUCUUAGUUAGAAUCCAGGUGCACUUGAAACAAUAAAACCUUGUAUAUAGUUUUCUCCUAUAAGAAACUUCUCAGAUAUUUACCAAAAUCCUGGAAAAAUAUAUAUUGGUCAAUAUACCACAAUUCCCACAAGAGGUAAAUAUUUACAAAAUCUACUUUGGGCGGUGAUGCUGCAAGAAUAUUAAAAGGCGUUGACUUUAUCGUCAAGUGAAUUAUUUCUUAAUUUUUUAAAAUUUAAAUCACAGUAUAUUUGACAAGCUACAGCAGUAGGAAAACACCUUUGCUUUAAACAAAACUACCUUUUCUCAGCAAGAACAGUUACUAGAGUGGGAAAUAAGGUUAAUUUCAGUUUUAUUAAUAAUAUCUGAAAUGAAAUAAUGUUACAACUCUCCCCUCUAACCUCGUUGCUAGACAACUUAGAAUAUUUAUUUAUUUCUCCUUCAGAGAAAAUAAGAGUGGAUGUUACCUUUAAGCAACAUACACAUUUAAUUAAUGAACACAAGGAAAAUGAUUCCGGUUGUAGUUAAAUCGGGUACAAGCAUAUAGGAUUUAAGAGAUCUGACCUUAGAAAUGAAGAAAAUAUUAUUGUAAUUACUCCAUUUGCUAAAAACAAAUGAUGUGGCAUUUGAAUUUAAGACUUCUAUCAAAAGCAGUUGAGUGUCUGUAAUCAGUUCUCACCUUUACAUUUUAAUGGAGUUGAGGUUGAGCCGUUGCAUUUACAAUUAUCUAGGCUGACUUCAUGCCUUUGAAAUGACUUAAAAAGAUUAGCAUUCAUGGAUUAUUUAUUAGCUCCUCGUGAACGUAUUUCCAAGAAUGGAAACAACGUAUUGCAUCAAAGUCUAGUUUCCAAGUUUAACUCUUUUAAUGAACAGCAUGACUGUACGAUGCUGCAAAAGGCAUCUCUGAAGUCACAGGACAUUUUGUCAUGCUUUUCCCUUCAAGUGCAUCUUUAGUAGCAGUCUUUGUUCCUUGCAAGCUCAGGGAGAAUGUUGAUUCCAGCCCUGGCAGCUGCCCGAGAUGCCCUGUAAACACUACGGCUAGCAGAAAGCAGGCUGCUCAGGGGGGCAAGGCAGCUGAUCCCAGCCUGCUGUAGCUAUCACUGAUAGGGAAUGCCUGUCUGGGGCUCGGCAGAGAACUCAGUGACAUGAUGGCCCUGGCAGUUUAACCCAAACACACUUUUCUGCCUAGAUAACAAAAAUGUCAUGCCUGAGUCCCUGAUAGCAACCCCAGAGGAGCUCCAGGUUUGAGGCAGCGCUGGCAGGACGUGGUCUAUCUGCCAUCUGAAGCCCUUCAUUGCCCGCCUGGCUGUGAAUCUCACCUCCUCUGUAGUGGAAAACAGGCUGAACAGAACUGGCAGGCAGGUAAGGGACAGCAAACCUUGCAGGGAGGGCCUAGUGCUGAAGCUAAGCCAGCCCUUUGAGUUCAAGCUCAAAGACAUGUGAUGCCAGCUUUGCAGGGGAGCUAAGAUUCUUCCGAGAAAAAGCAGAAUGAGAGAGAGAUAUGCAGCUGCAGUGGAGGACUUGGAAGAGAACAACGCCAGGUCCUGGAUCCUGCAAGAAUCUCCUCUGGAAAAGCAGGGGAGAGAAAAGCAAGGAAGGAAGCAGGGUCACCGCAAGUGUGGGAUUUGUCUUAUUAAAAUCUGAUACUGUGUGGCAGUUUGCUUCACUCUUGGUAUAAAAUGUCUGAGCUCCAUGUUAAAGUAAAUGUAAGUAAUAUAAAUCUGCCUUUCCUGAGGUGAAAAUAGAUCCAUAUUAUUUAAAAUAUGAACUGAGAUAGAUGACAGUUACAAACAUUAUACUUGUUCUUAUUAUAAUUCUUACUAAGCUCAAGGAAUAAAAACUGGGAUGAUGAAAAAGAAGUUCUGAAUGUAAAAAUUGGUGUUUUGGAUAAAAUACAAACCAACCCAGAAAUGAUG